AACGUGAACCUUUGCACCUUAGCCAACAUGAUUUCUUAUUAAUUUACUACAAAUUCCUACAAAAAGCACUACAACCAGACAUGAUUUCUUCACUUUUAACGCUACAACGUGAUUUCUUCAACCAAUAAGAUUUCUUAGCACAGUAGUAACAUGGGAUUUUGUGAUUCUAAGGGAGUACGGUGCAUGGUGAAACCUUUCCAAGAAUAUCAUACGGAUUUUUACAUACUCCAGGUAUGUUAAGGCUAUCCCUUCUUUCUUUUUGGCAUGAUCUAUACGACACAAGCGAAACGAGCAAAUACACAACUUCCAUAAAUGACUCUAUUUAUAAAAAUACUAGGGGUGUCUAUAUUCUUGAUUCCCCAUGUGAAUUAGUAAUUAGUCACGGCACAAGGAGCAAAGAGAGAUAAAAUAUAAAUAUAAGUCAUAAUUGAGCAAUCUAUCACUGAAAUGGAAAGAGUCCAGUAAGCUAGACUGUAUGCAAGUGUACAUGAUUGUAAAAGCCUUUAAAGCUGUAGAGAAAAGGUUGAAUGUACCAUCGUGUAUCGUCUUGCUUCGCUUAUAUUCUGUUAUUGAUUCUCUUAUCAUUGAAAUAUUUGAGCAGCAAGGCUUAACAACACUAACACAAUGAUUUUCCCAUAUGAAAAAAAUAUUGUUAUCUCUUAAUUAUUAUUAUAUCUUCUAUUCAUGGGUCUCAGAAAAAUACGUAUUUGAUAAAGUUUAUUCGACAAACAUAUUAUUUUUAUGACAUUCCGAGAAAUAUUAUUAACGUAUCUCUUAUGAAUUUCAUGCAUUUAUACAUGUACAUUGACCCAUGGCCAGAUGACGUUAUAUACGUGUAUAUAUUUGGGAUAUGGAAAAAGGUUACGGCAUUAUAUACGCACCACUACCUGAUCAGCUGGUAUACGUUGAUGAUUUCGCCCACAAUGGCCGAGAUGAUACGAUGGGAUGCCCUCAGAGGCCUGAUGAUGUUAUGAAAUAUGUACCUAUGCAUGACAUGACAUCCAUACGCAUAUGCAUGACACUAUAAUUAUUUCAUGAUUUAUAGAGUUAUCCAGACUUACAGGUUGAGUCAUUUACUCUAUAAUUCUUCUAUGUCUGUUAUGUACUUAUUUAUGUGCCUUAUAUACUCGGUACAUUAUUCGUACUGACGUCCCUUUUGCCUGGGGAUGCUGCAUUUCAUGCCCGCAGGUCCUGAUAGAUAGGUCGAG
rnacentral:lncRNA from 1 species